rnacentral:rRNA from 1 species
UACGUAGGGGGCAAGCGUUGUCCGGAAUCAUUGGGCGUAAAGAGCGUGUAGGCGGCCAGAUAAGUCCGCUGUGAAAUCUCGAGGCUCAACUUCGAGCUGUCGGUGGAAACUGUCUGGCUAGAGUCCGGAAGAGGAGAAUGGAGUUCCUGGUGUAGCGGUGAAAUGCGCAGAUAUCAGGAAGAACACCCGUGGCGAAGGCGGUUCUCUGGGACGGUACUGACGCUGAGACGCGAAAGCGUGGGGAGCGAACAGG